AACGCUGGCGGCGUGCCUAAUACAUGCAAGUAGAACGCUGAAGAGAGGAGCUUGCUCUUCUUGAUGAGUUGCGAACGGGUGAGUAACGCGUAGGUAACCUGCCUUGUAGCGGGGGAUAACUAUUGGAAACGAUAGCUAAUACCGCAUAACAAUAGGAUGACACAUGUCAUUUAUUUGAAAGGGGCAAUUGCUCCACUACAAGAUGGACCUGCGUUGUAUUAGCUAGUAGGUGAGGUAAUGCUCACCUAGGCGACGAUACAUAGCCGACCUGAGAGGGUGAUCGGCCACACUGGGACUGAGACACGGCCCAGACUCCUACGGGAGGCAGCAGUAGGGAAUCUUCGGCAAUGGGGGGAACCCUGACCGAGCAACGCCGCGUGAGUGAAGAAGGUUUUCGGAUCGUAAAGCUCUGUUGUAAGUCAAGAACGGGUGUGAGAGUGGAAAGUUCACACUGUGACGGUAGCUUACCAGAAAGGGACGGCUAACUACGUGCCAGCAGCCGCGGUAAUACGUAGGUCCCGAGCGUUGUCCGGAUUUAUUGGGCGUAAAGCGAGCGCAGGCGGUUUGAUAAGUCUGAAGUUAAAGGCUGUGGCUCAACCAUAGUUCGCUUUGGAAACUGUCAAACUUGAGUGCAGAAGGGGAGAGUGGAAUUCCAUGUAGCGGUGAAAUGCGUAGAUAUAUGGAGGAACACCGGUGGCGAAAGCGGCUCUCUGGUCUGUAACUGACGCUGAGGCUCGAAAGCGUGGGGAGCGAACAGGAUUAGAUACCCUGGUAGUCCACGCCGUAAACGAUGAGUGCUAGGUGUUGGAUCCUUUCCGGGAUUCAGUGCCGCAGCUAACGCAUUAAGCACUCCGCCUGGGGAGUACGACCGCAAGGUUGAAACUCAAAGGAAUUGACGGGGGCCCGCACAAGCGGUGGAGCAUGUGGUUUAAUUCGAAGCAACGCGAAGAACCUUACCAGGUCUUGACAUCCCGAUGCUAUUUCUAGAGAUAGAAAGUUACUUCGGUACAUCGGUGACAGGUGGUGCAUGGUUGUCGUCAGCUCGUGUCGUGAGAUGUUGGGUUAAGUCCCGCAACGAGCGCAACCCUUAUUGUUAGUUGCCAUCAUUCAGUUGGGCACUCUAGCGAGACUGCCGGUAAUAAACCGGAGGAAGGUGGGGAUGACGUCAAAUCAUCAUGCCCCUUAUGACCUGGGCUACACACGUGCUACAAUGGUUGGUACAACGAGUUGCGAGUCGGUGACGGCGAGCUAAUCUCUUAAAGCCAAUCUCAGUUCGGAUUGUAGGCUGCAACUCGCCUACAUGAAGUCGGAAUCGCUAGUAAUCGCGGAUCAGCACGCCGCGGUGAAUACGUUCCCGGGCCUUGUACACACCGCCCGUCACACCACGAGAGUUUGUAACACCCGAAGUCGGUGAGGUAACCUUUUGGAGCCAGCCGCCUAAGGUGGGACAGAUG
rnacentral:rRNA from 1 species